AGAGUUUGAUCCUGGCUCAGAACGAACGCUGGCGGCAGGCCUAACACAUGCAAGUCGAACGCCCCGCAAGGGGAGUGGCGCACGGGUGAGUAAUGCAUGGGAACGUGCCUUUCAGUUCGGAAUAACCACGGGAAACUGUGGCUAAUACCGGAUAUUCUCUUCGGAGGAAAGAUUUAUCGCUGAAAGAUCGGCCCAUGUCA
rnacentral:rRNA from 1 species